rnacentral:rRNA from 1 species
GACGAACGCUGGCGGCGUGCUUAACACAUGCAAGUCGAACGGAAAGGCCCUGCUUUUGUGGGGUGCUCGAGUGGCGAACGGGUGAGUAACACGUGAGUAACCUGCCCUUGACUUUGGGAUAACUUCAGGAAACUGGGGCUAAUACCGGAUAGGAGCUCCUGCUGCAUGGUGGGGGUUGGAAAGUUUCGGCGGUUGGGGAUGGACUCGCGGCUUAUCAGCUUGUUGGUGGGGUAGUGGCUUACCAAGGCUUUGACGGGUAGCCGGCCUGAGAGGGUGACCGGCCCCAUUGGGACAGAGAUACGGCCCAGACUCCUACGGGAGGCAGCAGUGGGGAAUAUUGCACAAUGGGCGGAAGCAUGAUGCAGCAACGCCGCGUGCGGGAUGACGGCCUUCGGGUUGUAAACCGCUUUCGCCUGUGACGAAGCGUGAGUGAGGGUAAUGGGUAAAGAAGCACCGGCUAACUACGU